UACAGAGGUCCCAAGCGUUGUUCGGAUUCACUGGGCGUAAAGGGUGCGUAGGUGGUGAGGUAAGUCGGAUGUGAAAUCUCCGAGCUCAACUCGGAAAUGGCAUUGGAAACUACCUUGCUCGAGGGUUGGAGGGGGGACUGGAAUGCUUGGUGUAGCAGUGAAAUGCGUAGAUAUCAAGCGGAACACCAGUGGCGAAGGCGAGUCCCUGGACAACUCCUGACACUGAGGCACGAAAGCUAGGGGGGCAAACAGG
rnacentral:rRNA from 1 species